rnacentral:lncRNA from 1 species
GGAAGGUGAGGGUCUGGUUGUUGGUCAGGAUGCUGUCCGUGUCCACAAACAGGAUGUAAUCCGCCCGCAGCCCCCGGGCGUAGCUCAGAGCCUCCUGCUUCAGCCUCAUCAGGUUUUCAUAGCGUUUGUCGCUCCAGUGCUUGGGGCCGAGCUCGUCGGGGUAAGAACUGGGCCCCUCUUCUGCCUUCCAUGCCACCGAGUGGUAAUUGCUGCCCACUGCCUGCAGCCACUCCUGCAGCAUCGCCGUCGUGUUGUCCGAGUUGUGGUCUGUCGCACACCACAGCGCGAUGUUCCCCGCGGGGAAGUCCAGGCUCUCCAGAGCCCCUAGGCAGUGCGGCAGCGAGUGCUGCGCGUUGCGGGCCAGGAGGGCCAGCACCACCCGGGGGGGUUCGGGGCUGCCCCCGGUGCCGGUGCCGGUCCCGGUGCCCAGCAGCAGCAGCAGCAGCAGCACGAGCGCAGCGCAGCGCAGCGGCCCCAUGGCGGAGGGCAGCGGCGGCG